CCGGUUUCCUCCCACAUCCCAGAGACGUGUGGGUUUGUAGGUUAAUUGGCUUCUGUGAAUUGCACCGAGUGUGUAGGCAGAGGCUGAGAAUGUGGAAUAACAUAGAACUAGUGUGAACGGGUGAUCGAUG